UACGUAGGUGGCAAGCGUUGUCCGGAAUUAUUGGGCGUAAAGCGCGCGCAGGCGGCCUUUUAAGUCUGAUGUGAAAGCCCACGGCUCAACCGUGGAAGGUCAUUGGGAACUGAAAGGCUUGAGUACAGAAGAGGAAAGCGGAAUUCCACGUGUAGCGGUGAAAUGCGUAGAGAUGUGGAGGAACACCAGUGGCGAAGGCGGCUUUCUGGUCUGUAACUGACGCUGAGGCGCGAAAGCGUGGGGAGCAAACAGG
rnacentral:rRNA from 1 species